rnacentral:snRNA from 1 species
UAGCUUGUGUCAAGUCAUAAAAAUAAUCACCAACGUGGUUUUGCCAGGGUGAGGUUUAUCCAUUGCACUCUGGAUGUGCUGACCUCUGCAACUUCCCCAAAUGUGGGAACAAUUGACUGCAUAAUUUGUGGUAAUGGGGGUCUUCAUGCUCUCC